UUAAUUUAAUGGCCGCGGUAUUUUGACCGUGCAAAGGUAGCAUAAUCAUUAGUUUUUUAAUUGAAAGCUGGAAUGAAGGGUUGAAUGAGAAAAUAACUGUCUCUAUUUAAAUUAUUUAGAAUUUUAUUUUUAAGUAAAAAAGCUUAGAUAUCUAUAAAAGACGAGAAGACCCUAUAGAGUUUAAUAAUUUAUAAUUUAUUUUUUUUUAGUAUUAUAAGUUUUAAUUAAAAAAUUAUUUAAUUGGGGUGAUUGAAAAAUUGAAUUAACUUUUUUUGUAUUUUAUCAUUGAUUUAUGAGUAUUUGAUCCUUAUUUAAAGAUUAAAAAAAUAAAUUACCUUAGGGAUAACAGCGUAAUUUUUUUUAAGAGUUCUAAUCGAAAAAAAAG
rnacentral:rRNA from 1 species